rnacentral:rRNA from 1 species
UACGGAGGGUGCAGGCGUUAUCCGGAUUCACUGGGUUUAAAGGGUGCGUAGGCGGAUAUGUAAGUCCGUGGUGAAAUCUCUGGGCUUAACCCGGAAACUGCCAUGGAUACUAUGUGUCUUGAAUGUUGUUGAGGUGAGCGGAAUAUGUCAUGUAGCGGUGAAAUGCUUAGAUAUGACAUAGAACACCAAUUGCGAAGGCAGCUCACUAAGCAAAUAUUGACGCUGAGGCACGAAAGCGUGGGGAUCAAACAGG